UAAUGAAUAUUCCGCAAUGCGCGAAAGCGUGACGGAGCAAUGCCGCGUGCAGGAUGAAGCCCCUCGGGGUGUAAACUGCUGUCAGGGUACAGGAACACAAUGACCAUACCCAAAGGAAGGGCCGGCUAACUUCGUGCCAGCAGCCGCGGUAAUACGAAGGGCCCGAGCGUUAAUCGGAAUCACUGGGCUUAAAGGGUGCGCAGGCGGACGCGCAGGCAUCUUGUGAAAUCCCUCGGCUCAACCGGGGAACUGCAGGGUGAACCGCGUGUCUUGAGGCAAGUAGGGGCUGUCGGAACGCUAGGUGGAGUGGUGAAAUGCGUUGAUAUCUAGCGGAACGCCUAAGGAGAAAUCAGGCAGCUGGGCCUGUCCUGACGCUGAGGCACGAAAGCGUGGGGAGCGAACGGGAUUAGAUACCCGUGUAGUCC
rnacentral:rRNA from 1 species